rnacentral:misc_RNA from 1 species
ACCAUAUUACGGGGGGCCGGACCCAAAGUGCGUGACCACGAGCUUCAAUCGAGGCUGGUGCGAGCGUACUUUGACCCGCCCUGUCUGAAUAUUCCACCCAUGUCUUUUGCGCACUAUUUGUUUCCUUGGUGGGCUUGCCUGCCAGUAGGACACUAUACAAACCCUUUUGAAUUGCAGUCAGCGUCAGAAAAACUUAUAAUUUA